rnacentral:tRNA from 1 species
GCCUUCGUGGUGUAGUGGUCAGCACGCUCGACGCGUAAUCGAGAGGUCCGUGGUUAAAUUCCCGGCGAAGGCG